rnacentral:rRNA from 1 species
CUACGGGUUGCACCAGUGAGGAAUAUUGCACAAUGGGGGGAACCCUGAUGCAGCAACGCCGCGUGGAGGAUGACGCGUUUCGGUGUGUAAACUCCUUUUAUAUGUCAAGAAAAUGACGGUAGCAUAUGAAUAAACACCGGCUAACUCCGUGCCAGCAGCCGCGGUAAUACGGAGGGUGCAAGCGUUACUCGGGAUCACUGGGCGUAAAGGACGCGUAGGCGGGUUGGAAAGUCAGGUGUGAAAUCCUACAGCUUAACUGUAGAACUGCACUUGAAACUUCUAAUCUAGAGUAUGGGAGGGGGAGAUGGAAUUAGUGGUGUAGGGGUAAAAUCCGUAGAUAUCACUAGGAAUACCUAAAGCGAAGGCGAUCUCCUGGAACAUUACUGACGCUAAGGCGUGAAAGCGUGGGGAGCAAACAGGAUUAGAUACCCUUGUAGUC